AACGCACCUUGCGCUCCUUGGUAUUCCGAGGAGCAUGCCUGUUUGAGUGUCAUGAAAUCUUCAACUUACGAGCUUCUUGCGAGGUUUGUAGGGUUGGACUUGGAGGCUUGUCGGUCUUUAAAGGUCGGCUCCUCUUAAAUGCAUUAGCUUGGUUCCUUGCGGAUCGGGUUGUCGGUGUGAUAAUGUCUACGCCGCGACCGUGAAGCGUUUGGCAAGCUUCUAACCGUCUCGGUAUAGAGACAAGUUUUAUGACCUCUGACCUCAAAUCAGGUAGGACUACCCGCUGAACUUAA
rnacentral:misc_RNA from 2 species